rnacentral:rRNA from 1 species
GAUGAACGCUGGCGGCGCGCCUAACACAUGCAAGUCGAACGGCACCUAUCUUCGGAUAGAAGCGAGUGGCGAACGGCUGAGUAACACGUGGAGAACCUGCCCCCUCCCCCGGGAUAGCCGCCCGAAAGGACGGGUAAUACCGGAUACCCCCGGGCGCCGCAUGGCGCCCGGGCUAAAGCCCCGACGGGAGGGGAUGGCUCCGCGGCCCAUCAGGUAGACGGCGGGGUGACGGCCCACCGUGCCGACAACGGGUAGCCGGGUUGAGAGACCGACCGGCCAGAUUGGGACUGAGACACGGCCCAGACUCCUACGGGAGGCAGCAGUGGGGAAUCUUGCGCAAUGGGGGGAACCCUGACGCAGCGACGCCGCGUGCGGGACGGAGGCCUUCGGGUCGUAAACCGCUUUCAGCAGGGAAGAGUCAAGACUGUACCUGCAGAAG